AUUGAACGCUGGCGGCAUGCCUUACACAUGCAAGUCGAACGGCAGCACGGGAGGCAAUCCUGGUGGCGAGUGGCGAACGGGUGAGUAAUAUAUCGGAACGUGCCCAGUCGUGGGGAUAACGUAGCGAAAGCUACGCUAAUACCGCAUACGAUCUAUGGAUGAAAGCGGGGGAUCGCAAGACCUCGCGCGAUUGGAGCGGCCGAUAUCAGAUUAGGUAGUUGGUGAGGUAAAGGCUCACCAAGCCGACGAUCUGUAGCUGGUCUGAGAGGACGACCAGCCACACUGGGACUGAGACACGGCCCAGGACUCCUACGGGAGGCAGGCAGUGGGGAAUUUUGGACAAUGGGCGCAAGCCUGAUCCAGCAAUGCCGCGUGCAGGAUGAAGGCCUGGUGUAAC
rnacentral:rRNA from 1 species